rnacentral:rRNA from 1 species
GAAAGUGGCCAUACCUGCCCAAUCUCGUCAAAACUCAAGUAAAGCUAAGUAAGGCCGGGCCUGGUUAGUAUUUGGAUGGGAGACUACUGACAAUACCAGGUCACUUCA